UACAGAGGAUGCAAGCGUUAUCCGGAAUGAUUGGGCGUAAAGCGUCUGUAGGUGGCUUUUUAAGUCCGCCGUCAAAUCCCAGGGCUCAACUCUGGACAGGCGGUGGAAACUACCAAGCUGGAGUACGGUAGAGGCCGGUGGAAUUCCCGGUGUAGCGGUGGAAUGCGUAGAGAUCGGGAAGAACACCCGUGGCGAAGGCGGCCGGCUGGGCCGGAUCCGACGCUGAGGCGCGAAAGCGUGGGGAGCAAACAGG
rnacentral:rRNA from 1 species